GGGCCCCGCACAAGCAGCGGAGCGUGUGGUUUAAUUCGAGGCUACACGAAGAACCUUACCAGGGUUUGACAUGUCACGUGGUAGGAAUCCGAAAGGUGACCGACCCUUCGGGGAGCGUGCACAGGUGUUGCAUUGGCUGUCGUCAGCUCGUGCCGUGAGGUGUUAGGUUAAGUCCUGUAACGAGCGCAACCCCUGCCGUUAGUUACAUGUGUCUAACGGGACUGCCCGGCUCAACUGGGAGGAAGGUGGGACGACGUCAAGUCAGCAUGGCCUUUAUAUCCUGGGCUACACACACGCUACAAUGGUCGGUACAAUGGGUCGCCAAGCCGCGAGGCGGAGCCAAUCCUCCAAAACCGGCCUCAGUUCAGAUUGUUCUCUGCAACUCGAGAGCAUGAAGUCGGAAUCGCUAGUAAUCGCGGAUCAGCAUGCCGCGGUGAAUACGUUCCCGGGUCUU
rnacentral:rRNA from 1 species